AUGGCGGAGGAACCAUUCACCAAGUGUCAUCAUGCCGAGACGUCAGACAAGAGCAGCAACCUUGUCGACAUUCACGUCCCCGGCGAGAAGCGCGAGUACACAACAACCCUCAAAGGGGUUCGGCUCCACGGCAAUGAGAUGCUGGAGAUCGUCUGCACCAGCGUACCAGAAAAGGCCGACAAGGUGAUCUCCAGGCUCUGGAGGAAGCUUGGCGGCAGGAGUCGUAGGAUCGUCGGCAUUGGUGUGCACUACACCAACGAAGAUGAACCUCCCGAGAUGGCAGCAGUCCUGCAGUUGUGCGUCGAUGAACUCUGCUUGGUGUACCACAUCGCAGCGGCCACAAAAUGGCCCAAGCACCUGACCGAGAUGCUGCAGCAUGAGAAGUUGUUCACAUUUGCCGGUUUCAGCAUUGAAAGCGACAAAGAGAAGCUGAAGUUGUCCGGUAUGGAGAUCAAUCCCAACAAGUUCAUCGACAUUCAGCGCAAGUGGAGAGUUCCAUACACCGGAAAAGAGUACGACUCCUUGAUUGAUGUUGCAGCCAGCGUCAUCCACCCAUUCUACAAAGGCAUGAAGAAGAAGAUCAACACGUAG
rnacentral:rRNA from 1 species